rnacentral:piRNA from 1 species
UGCUUUCAAGUCUCACCUUCCUGACGAGCC